rnacentral:rRNA from 1 species
UACGUAGGGGGCAAGCGUUGUCCGGAAUCAUUGGGCGUAAAGAGCGUGUAGGCGGCCUGGUAAGUCCGCUGUGAAAGUCCAGGGCUCAACCCUGGAAUGCCGGUGGAAACUGUCAGGCUCGAGUCCGGAAGAGGCGAGUGGAAUUCCUGGUGUAGCGGUGAAAUGCGCAGAUAUCAGGAGGAACACCAAUGGCGAAGGCAGCUCGCUGGGACGGUACCGACGCUGAGACGCGAAAGCGUGGGGAGCAAACAGG